UCUACUAGCUCACAAAUCCACACAGGGAGAAAGAUGGCUCAACAGCCUACGGUCAUUAUUACAGCUUCUAAGCUGCAGUAACAACCACAGAUAUACCAUGCAAGCAUCCAGACUAAUUCCAGAUUGGAGGGAUGAUACUAUCUCCCAAUCCCCAGAAAGGCAUCCAUUCCGGAUUUGAAGGCAUCAAGCGAUGGAGAUUCCACCACUGCACUUGGAUCACAGACUACAUCUGUUCUAGAAAUUGAAUCGAUCCCACCACUUCAAAUUAUGAGUAAUAGCUGUGAAAAAUCUCAUCAGAUGUCAUAAUCUCAAAUGGGCCCAAUCACUGAAGGUGCUGAACAGCUCCUGUGAGAAGAUGAUCGGCCUCAGAUCCUAUUGCAAACAAUGACAUUUGGCCAGUAGAAGAAGCCAUGAUGGUUCACCCUUUUUAAUGUUGGAUACAAGUUGCAAUUAACUUUGCUAGCAAUAGAGGUCCCUCAGAAGUGACCAAGGAACAUUGGUUUACGCAAUUUAACUACCAAGAGCUGGGCUGGAUUCAGAUCAGUAGCCUGGAAGGGAAUGGCCUCAUAACUCAGUCAUCCCAGGGAACUUUCAUAUAGAGGACUGUGAUUUAUUUGGUUUCUUUCUCCCAAGAGUUUUACUGCCUUCAUUUUUUGGAGCAGAAGAGAAAGAAAGAUUAUUACUAUGUAGAAAUUUGACUCUUCACAUUAGGAAUCUGGCAAUUAGUGUGGUAGAAAACCAAAUACAGCCCUUUUCAGAUAGGCAUUUAAGUUCUUCAUAUGAAGAAACACAUGAGGUUUUGGAUACACUUGGG